GAUGAACGCUAGCUACAGGCUUAACACAUGCAAGUCGAGGGGCAUCAUGAAGUUUGCUUGCAAACUUUGAUGGCGACCGGCGCACGGGUGAGUAACGCGUAUCCAACCUGGCCCACAGUAGGGAAUAGCCCGGCGAAAGUCGGAUUAAUGCCCUAUGUUCUCCUUUGAUGGCAUCUGACGAGGAGCAAAGGUUUACCGCUAUGGGAUGGGGAUGCGUCUGAUUAGGUAGUCGGCGGGGUAACGGCCCACCGAGCCAUCGAUCAGUAGGGGUUCUGAGAGGAAGGUCCCCCACAUUGGUACUGAGACACGGACCAAACUCC
rnacentral:rRNA from 1 species